CCCUUAGAUGUUCUGGGCCGCACGCGUGCUACACUGAGUGGAUCAGCGGGUCAGGUUGCGCGAAAGUGUUUCCUAAUCUUGAAAUCCGCUCGUGAUGGGGAUUGACGGUUGCAAUUUUCCAUCAUGAACGAGGAAUACCUUGUAAGCGCGGGUCAUCAUCCCGCGCUGAAUACGUCCCUGCCCUUUGUACACACCGCCCGUCGCUCCUACCGAUUGAGUGGUCCGGUGAGGCUUUGGGAUCUGAGCGGAAAGAGCGUUUCGCUGUUUCUGCUCGGAAAACUCAGUCGAACCUUAUCAUUUAGAGGAAGGAGAAGUCGUAACA
rnacentral:rRNA from 1 species